CUAUAUUGGAAGAAAUUUAGUGUUGUAACUAUGGCUACUGACUGUCACAGAGGAUCAGGGAGAGAGAGAAUCUGUGUGUGUAUAAAAGUGAAAUAAUGCUGUUUAUUUUCAUGAAUUUGGAGUAACUACAUAACUCAUCAGGACUGCUGAAGCCUGUAUAGCCUACCAGAUUCAUAAUGCACUGCAUCACAGAGAAUUAGUUCAUAACUCAUUCAAAGCUCAACUCAGUAUUACUUGACUGACCACACUUCAUUUGCUGCGAAAUCCUUCUAUUUGUUUGGUGUACUUUUUUAAAGAAAUGGAACUUUGAAUGAUGGCCUGUUGGCAGAUAUAUUUGCCUCCCAGGGCCAUGAGUUGCAUGGGUGUAAGCAAGGGCAGAGUUUGUCUCUAAAUGACUAAAAUGCUACGCUCCCUUGGCUGUGAGAUGCAGAGGGAGUGCAUAAAAAUAACACAGAGCAUGAAAUCUUCAAAAGUAGCAGAAAGAGUGGGCUGAGCCACCAUAACAUGCCGCCUCCUUCCCAGGGGGCCUGCAAAAAGAUUUCUGCGCUUUCAGUCAGCCUUGCUUACCAGCAUUAUAUGUAUUGAUAAAGGCAAGGGCAUAGGGCUAGGGAGACAGCAUUCUCCAAAGCUAACAGUAAUUCUCUUGUCAAUUAAGCAAAUUGUGCCAACGCCUCCGGUAGGGCAAGGUGGGAUGAAGGAUGUGGGUGGGUGCAGUAGUGGUGGCUGAUGAAGAGCUUCGGAGACCUUCAGUGAUGGUGGAUACGCAGAGGACUGAGGUGUGCCAUGUUGCCCUCUGCGUCCAUGGUCACUGCAAUCUUCCUGCAGUAUGGCAAGAUGUGCCUCUACGUUUCUGAUGAGUGGUAGCCUCUGUAGCUUGACCCAGUAGCCAAAGAUGCCUUGUGUGUACACCUCGGCGAGAUGAGAACGGCCACACGCACUGCCUGGGAACUGCUCACACUUAGAGAAAACAUUUCUUUGGGCAAGUGUCUGGAGAAUGAACAAAGGAACAAAGCGCUUAAGCAGCACCUUUCUCAAAGUUGCAGAGAAGGCUACCGGCAAAGCAAGAGGCACCAGCUUUCAUCACAGGCUCCUGUUAGCGUACUGUCCUUUGAUCAGGUCGUCUCCCCAAGCUCAUGGGGUUCAGUCUGGAUACAUGAUUCCCUACAUAAAGACAAGCAUGGAGAAGAAGGAAAGAUUAAUCCUCAGACAUCCUUUAUGGAGAAUCUCAAUGCAAGAGAAUAUGCUGAGGGACUCAGCAUGAAGAUGGAGUAACAUGCAAAACUCAAAGAAAAAUCUGUCUCUCUACUUCUGACUGAAGGAUGCAAACAGCACAUUACCACAAG
rnacentral:lncRNA from 1 species